rnacentral:rRNA from 1 species
UACGGAGGGUGCAAGCGUUGUCCGGAAUCACUGGGCGUAAAGCGCGCGUAGGCGGCCCGGUAAGUCCGCUGUGAAAGUCAAAGGCUCAACCUUUGAAUGUCAGCGGAUACUGCCGGGCUAGAGUCCGGAAGAGGCGAGUGGAACUCCUGGUGUAGCGGUGGAAUGCGCAGAUAUCAGGAAGAACACCAACGGCGAAGGCAGCUCGCUGGGACGGAACUGACGCUAAGGCGCGAAAGCGUGGGGAGCGAACAGG